rnacentral:rRNA from 1 species
AACGAACGCUGGCGGCGUGCUUAACACAUGCAAGUCGAACGAGAAAGUUUCUUCGGAAAUGAGUAAAGUGGCGCACGGGUGAGUAACGCGUAGAUAACCUGUCCAAGCGAUUGGGAUAGCCCUCCGAAAGGGGGAUUAAUACCGGAUACGUUGAUUACUUUUAAGGGUAAUCAAGAAAGGCGGCCUCUAUUUAUAAGCUGUCGCGCAUGGAGGGGUCUGCGUACCAUUAGUUUGUUGGUGGGGUAAUGGCCUACCAAGACUACGAUGGUUAACGGGUCUGAGAGGAUGAUCCGUCACACUGGCACUGAAACACGGGCCAGACUCCUACGGGAGGCAGCAGUGAGGAAUAUUGCGCAAUGGGGGAAACCCUGACGCAGCGACGCCGCGUGGGUGAGGAAGGCUUUCGGGUCGUAAAACCCUGUCAGAAGGGAAGAAAUGCUUAUGGGCUAAUAUCUUGUAAGUUUGACGGUACC